rnacentral:rRNA from 1 species
UACGUAGGGAGCAAGCGUUGUCCGGAAUCAUUGGGCGUAAAGCGCGCGUAGACGGUUUUGUAAGUCAGAUGUGAAAUCCCUGGGCUCAACCUGGGAACUGCAUUUGAGACUGCAUGGCUAGAGUAUGGAAGAGGGAAGUGGAAUUUCCGGUGUAGCGGUGAAAUGCGUAGAUAUCGGAAGGAACACCAGUGGCGAAGGCGGCAUUCUGGACCGACAUUGACGCUGAGGAGCGAAAGCCAGGGGGAGCCAAAAGCGGGGAUUAA